rnacentral:rRNA from 1 species
AUACGUAGGUGACAAGCGUUAUCCGGAUUUACUGGGCGUAAAGGGCGUGUAGGCGGUCUUGCAAGUCAGAAGUGAAAUUCCUGAGCUCAACUCGGGCGCUGCUUCUGAAACUGCAGGACUUGAGUGCUGGAGGGGAUAGCGGAAUUCCUAGUGGAGCGGUAAAAUGCGCAGAUAUUAGGAAGAACACCGGUGGCGAAGGCGGCUAUCUGGACAGUAACUGACGCGGAGGCGCGAAAGCGUGGGGAGCAAACAGGAUUAGAUACCCUGGUAGUCCACUCCGUAAACGAUGAAUACUAGGUGUAGGGGGUAUCGACUCCCUCUGUGCCGCAGUUAACACAAUAAGUAUUCCGCCUGGGGAGUACGGCCGCAAGGUUGAAACUCAAAUGAAUUGACGGGG